GUCGAGGGGCAGCAGGGGAGUAGCAAUACUCCCGCUGGCGACCGGCGCACGGGUGAGUAACACGUAUGCAACCUGCCCUUGUCAGGGGGAUAAGCGGAAGAAAUUCCGUCUAAUACCGCAUAACGCUGCGGGGAGACAUCUCCCUGCAGCCAAAGAUUUAUCGGACAAGGAUGGGCAUGCGGCGCAUUAGCUGGUUGGCGGGGUAACGGCCCACCAAGGCGACGAUGCGUAGGGGUUCUGAGAGGAAGGUCCCCCACACUGGUACUGAGACACGGACCAGACUCCUACGGGAGGCAGCAGUGAGGAAUAUUGGUCAAUGGCCGGGAGGCUGAACCAGCCAAGUCGCGUGAGGGAAGACGGUCCUAUGGAUUGUAAACCUCUUUUGUCAGGGAGCAAAAACUGCCACGCGUGGCAGGAUGAGAGUACCUGAAGAAAAAGCAUCGGCUAACUCCGUGCCAGCAGCCGCGGUAAUACGGAGGAUGCGAGCGUUAUCCGGAUUUAUUGGGUUUAAAGGGUGCGUAGGCGGACAGUUAAGUCAGCGGUAAAAUUGAGAGGCUCAACCUCUUCCCGCCGUUGAAACUGAUUGUCUUGAGUGGGCGAGAAGUAUGCGGAAUGCGUGGUGUAGCGGUGAAAUGCAUAGAUAUCACGCAGAACUCCGAUUGCGAAGGCAGCAUACCGGCGCGCAACUGACGCUCAUG
rnacentral:rRNA from 1 species